rnacentral:lncRNA from 10 species
CAAAAAUUAAAAAUGCUCAAAGGAUUAUAGGUUUUCUCCUCUUUCGUAUGUUUGGCUCUGAGACACUGCAUGUUGGCACGUUUUUCAUUGAGAAUCCUGAAAGCCACCUUUCCAUACCAAAUUCCCAUCUGUCUCUACCAAAUUACCAGAAAAAGAAAAAAUGAGAAAUGGAGGUCUCAGAUUCCGUCAUCACAGCAGGUAGAAAUCAAAGUCACUGAAUCCAUCAAAUUAGUAAGCAUACCCCACUGUCAGUGAACUUCAGCUGAUCAGUUAUGUAUUGAGAAGGCAAAUAACACAAUUGCAGAACAUGUUCAAAAUACUAGUCCUACUGCUAUGGUGAACAAGCUCAAUCCAAUCAAAAGCACCUUUAUUUUGGUCUCUCACUGUCUAAAUUUACUCUCUAGGGCUUGUUCUCCCGCUGUCCCUAGGUGAGAUGUAGAGCAAGCCCUGCCCUGGGCAGAUGAAGUCCCCGCCCAACACAGGAACUACUCCUUCCAGCCGCGUUUGGAGAGAGGCCGCCCCUUCCACUGUGGGCCCGCGGGGAACCUCGCUCUCUGCAGGGGGAGAGCAGCUUAUGUUUGGCCUCGGCCUUAUUUUAUUUGCCCACUUGGUGCUGUCAGCUCUCUUUCCCAAGUUGCUGAGAGGGGCAUGAGGUGGGGAGCAGAAAUUCAUCGUUCGCCGAUACUGCUGUGAACUGGCUUCGGCCGUGGUGCAUUUUCAUGCGCUUUGACACGCAUGCCCCCUGCCCUCUUCUGUUGGUAGCUCCCUCACUUUGAAGGGUGCGCUCCUUCUGGCCGGCCCUAUCUUUGGCUCCUGGCUGUCGGGGUCUCCCCUCUACACACUCUCUUCUGUUGAGUCGUGGUGAAGCAGAAACCCCACCGCCUUCCUCCAUGGGUUACGAUAAGAUUCAUA